GAUGAACGCUGGCGGCGUGCCUAAUACAUGCAAGUCGAGCGAAAAGACGAGGAGCUUGCUCCUUUGACGUUAGCGGCGGGGGGGUGUGUAACACGUGGAUAACCUACCUAUAUGACGGGGAUAACUUCGGGAAACCGGAGCUAAUACCGGAGAAUAUAUUGAACCGCAUGGUUGAAUAGUGAAUGACGGUUUUGCUGUCACUUAUAGCUGGUUCCGGGCCGCAUUAGCUAGUUGGUACGGUAACGGCUUACCAAGGCAACGAUGCGUAGCCGACCUGAGAGGGUGAUCGGCCACACUGGAACUGAGACACGGUCCAGACUCCUACGGGAGGCAGCAGUAGGGAAUCUUACGCAAUGGGCGAAAGCCUGACGCAGCAACGCCGCGUGAGUGAUGAAGGUCUUCGGAUCGUAAAACCCUGUUAUUAGGGAAGAACAAAUUUGUAAUUAACCAUGCACGGAUUGACGGUACCUAAUCAAAAAGCAACGGCUAACUACGUG
rnacentral:rRNA from 1 species